CCCCYUWUUKUUWAKUKCCMMCMAUUCAGUUGGCCACUCUAAUGAGACUGCCGGUGACAAACCGGAGGAGGGUGGGGAUGACGUCAAAUCAUCAUGCCCCUUAUGACCUGGGCUACACACGUGCUACAAUGGAUGGUACAACGAGCAGCAAGACCGCGAGGUCAAGCGAAUCUCUUAAAGCCAUUCUCAGUUCGGAUUGCAGGCUGCAACUCGCCUGCAUGAAGCCGGAAUCGCUAGUAAUCGCGGAUCAGCACGCCGCGGUGAAUACGUUCCCGGGUCUUGUACACACCGCCCGUCACACCACGAGAGUUUGUAACACCCGAAGUCGGUGAGGUAACCUUUUUGGAGCCAGCCGCCCAAGGUGGGACAGAUGAUUGGGGUGAAGUCGUAACAAGGUAACC
rnacentral:rRNA from 1 species